rnacentral:sRNA from 1 species
GAGUUUAGAAUGUAAGCAAUAACAAUCUAAGCUUAGUGGCGGAAGGGUGAGUAACACGUGGGUAACUUACCCUCGACUUCGGGACAACUCGGGGAAACCUGAGCUAAUACCGGAUUCGGCUCGGGAAAGGCAUCUUUUCCGAAUCAAAGGUUUACUGGUCGAGGAGAGGCCCGCGUCCUAUUAGCUUGUUGGGAGGUAUCUGCUCACCAAGGCUGGAAAGGUAGCCGUGCUGAGAGGUUGUUCGGCCACACUGGGACNGCUACGUGCCCANUGACUACGGGANCUUCAUUCGGGCUGGNUGUUAACUCNCCCUUCCGAAA